rnacentral:snRNA from 1 species
AUAAUCCAGCAUUAAAAAAGCAAA